UGGGGAAUAUUGGACAAUGGGCGAAAGCCUGAUCCAGCCAUGCCGCGUGUGUGAAGAAGGUCUUCGGAUUGUAAAGCACUUUAAGUUGGGAGGAAGGGCAGUAAGCGAAUACCUUGCUGUUUUGACGUUACCGACAGAAUAAGCACCGGCUAACUCUGUGCCAGCAGCCGCGGUAAUACAGAGGGUGCAAGCGUUAAUCGGAAUUACUGGGCGUAAAGCGCGCGUAGGUGGUUCGUUAAGUUGAAUGUGAAAGCCCCGGGCUCAACCUGGGAACUGGAUCCAAAACUGGCGAGCUAGAGUAGGGCAGAGGGUGGUGGAAUUUCCUGUGUAGCGGUGAAAUGCGUAGAUAUAGGAAGGAACACCAGUGGCGAAGGCGACCACCUGGGCUCAUACUGACACUGAGGUGCGAAAGCGUGGGGAGCAAACAGG
rnacentral:rRNA from 1 species